AUUCUCUUAGUAUAAACAGUACAAUUGACUUCCAAUCAGUUAGAUCUAGUAAACCCUAGAAGAGAAUA
rnacentral:tRNA from 1 species